CAGAAAAUGGUGUAAAGUGUAAUUUUUUCUUGGCCACCUUGUUUAUUUAAGCAUGUUUGUCAAAACCUACCGCAGAACGGUUAUCCUAGCUUGAAGAAAUCCUUCUGGGUCAGAAAGCCCUUUGGAUGGCUGGGAUCCAACUGCUCUCCUUCCCGUUUCUCUCUUUUAAGUUCUGAGAUUCUGUCAAAGUCUGGGCUGAAUUCCUGAAGCCAGUUGGAGUGUAGCUGUUCUUUUGUUCCCCGCUGCCAACCACAGAAAGCAAUGUUCAUCAGUUUUUGUAGUCACCGGCUUUAAAAGCUCUAAGUCCCAUUGCUUCCUUUGAAUGACCUGAUGCAAAGCUGUGUUUUAAACCUAGGAAUGACUUUACAGAGCUUUUCCCUUGUAUUGCUGUGCUGUCCCUGAUUUCAAGGAAGAAUGCAUUAAGCAGGCUGUCAGUUUCUUAAGACUGUCAAAGGAAGCCCAAAUGAGGAGACACUUCUGUGAGAGGCAGCUGGAGAUCAAACCCACCCAGGAUGCUCUCCAGUCAGUAUCUGCAGCAACAAAGAAUCUUGCAGAUAGACAUGUAUUUAAAACAGCCAGCUCACGCACUGCUGGCUGUAGGCCCCAUCAGGAGGAAUGUAUUUUAAAGGACCAGCCCAAGACCAGGGGAGGAUAACUGACCUUUCAGUGAAGAAAAGCUGCCAGCAUUUUCAGCAAACCCCAGGAACAGCAUCCAAAUCCUGCAGUCCAAUGCCCAGACUGUUUCCUAUUCUCAGUUAUUUUACUUUGUGUUUUGAUAAUUUGUGAUGAAUAUUCACAUGUCAUAAAAAAGACCUUUAAAUAAAAUGAGAUGAAACUAAAGAACA
rnacentral:lncRNA from 1 species